rnacentral:rRNA from 1 species
GUGAGGAAUAUUGCGCAAUGGGGGCAACCCUGACGCAGCAACGCCAUGUGAGGGAUGAAGCAUUUAGGUGUGUAAACCUCUGUCAGUAGGGAAUAAUUUCGCUAAAUAGCGGGUUGAAUGUACCUACAAAGGAAGCCCCGGCUAACUUCGUGCCAGCAGCCGCGGUAAUACGAGGGGGGCAAGUGUUGUUCGGAAUCACUGGGCGUAAAGGGAGCGUAGGCGGAAGUCUAAGUCAGAUGUUUAAUUCCAGGGCUCAACCCUGGGUGUGCGUUUGAAACUGGAUUUCUUGAAUAUUGUAGAGGUAGAUGGAAUUCCGGGUGUAGCGGUGGAAUGCGUAGAUAUCCGGAGGAACACCAGUUGCGAAGGCGAUCUACUGGCCAAAUAUUGACGCUGAGGCUCGAAAGCGUGGGUAGCCAACAGGAUUAGAAACCCUAGUAGUCC